rnacentral:rRNA from 1 species
GACGAACGCUGGCGGCGUGCUUAACACAUGCAAGUCGAACGGAAAGGCCCUGCUUUUGUGGGGUGCUCGAGUGGCGAACGGGUGAGUAACACGUGAGUAACCUGCCCUUGACUUUGGGAUAACUUCAGGAAACUGGGGCUAAUACCGGAUAGGAGCUCCUGCUGCAUGGUGGGGGUUGGAAAGUUUCGGCGGUUGGGGAUGGACUCGCGGCUUAUCAGCUUGUUGGUGGGGUAGUGGCUUACCAAGGCUUUGACAGGUAGCCGGCCUGAGAGGGUGACCGGCCACAUUGGGACUGAGAGACGGCACAGACUCCUACGGGAGGCAGCAGUGGGGAAUAUUGCACAAUGGGCGGAAGCCUGAUGCAGCAACGCCGCGUGCGGGAUGACGGCCUUCGGGUUGUAAACCGCUUUCGCCUGUGACGAAGCGUGAGUGACGGUAAUGGGUAAAGAAGCACCGGCUAACUACGUGC